rnacentral:tRNA from 1 species
AACAUUAUGAUAUUUAAAUAUUAUAUAUGAAGUGUAAAAAUAAUAUUAUAAAUAUUCUUAAUAUUA